CCUGGGGAGUACGGCCGCAAGGUUAAAACUCAAAUGAAUUGACGGGGCCCGGCCACAAGCGGUGGAGCAUGUGGUUUAAUUUCGAAGCAACGCGAAGAACCUUACCAGGCCUUGACAUCCAAUGAACUUUCCAGAGAUGGAUUGGUGCCUUCGGAACAUUGAGACAGGUGCUGCAUGGCUGUCGUCAGCUCGUGUCGUGAGAUGUUGGGUUAAGUCCCGUAACGAGCGCAACCCUUGUCCUUAGUUACCAGCACGUUAUGGUGGGCACUCUAAGGAGACUGCCAGUGACAAAACUGGAGGAAGGCGGGGACGACGUCAAGUCAUC
rnacentral:rRNA from 1 species